AAUAGCUCAAUUGGAAGAGCAACUGACUUGUAAUCAGUAGGUUGCGGGUUCGAUUCCUGCUUAAUGA
rnacentral:tRNA from 1 species